CUGGGGAAAUGCUACCAGUACAGCCCUGACCAAGGUUGCACAGCAGAGACUGGAGAGACCCAGUGAGCAGGUGGGAGAGUGGAUCCAGGAGGGGAGGACAGUACAGUGACCUGGCCAGGGCGCGGAGCCACAGAGGAAGCCACGCGAGCCCUGGGGAGCGAGGUGGGAUGCAGCAUGAGCAGCUGUCUGUUAUGGGGAGCAUCAGACCUGAAAGGAGCAAGACCCCAAACAGAUGCCCCAAUGGGGCAACAAACAUGAAGAUCUGAACUGUUCAGGAGAGGGCAGGACUGGAGGAGGCUGACACCCUAUCGAUGGAGAAUCUGAGAGGACAAUGGCAAACCCUGUCACCAGGACAUGGACACCUGGCAACCAAUGCCCCAGAGGGAGAUGGAUUUCCCCACUUCUCUGCAGGGAAGCUGGGCAGAAUCCCCCAGCUCAAGAACCAAGGACUGGGAAGGUGUAAAGGGGGGGAAUAAAAGUUGUCGUCUAGAGGGCAGCAAGUGCUCACCAGGGAUCUGAGGAAGGAGAUGAUGGAGCUUGGAAAGGGGGGUACGCUACAGUUUGGCUGGGCUCUGGGCUAACCUGAAGGACCUUGAAGACUCUGGGCUAACCUAAGGACUUGCUGUGUUCCCGUUGACAAAUAAACUUACUGUUUUG